CCUACGGGUGGCAGCAGUCGAGAAUCAUUCACAAUGGGGGAAACCCUGAUGGUGCGACGCCGCGUGGGGGAAUGAAGGUCUUCGGAUUGUAAACCCCUGUCAUGUGGGAGCAAAUUAAAAAGAUAGUACCACACGAGGAAGAGACGGCUAACUCUGUGCCAGCAGCCGCGGUAAUACAGAGGUCUCAAGCGUUGUUCGGAAUCACGGGGCGUAAAGCGUGCGUAGGCUGUUUCGUAAGUCGUGUGUGAAAGGCGCGGGCUCAACCCGCGGACGGCACAUGAUACUGCGAGACUAGAGUAAUGGAGGGGGAACCGGAAUUCUCGGUGUAGCAGUGAAAUGCGUAGAUAUCGAGAGGAACACUCGUGGCGAAGGCGGGUUCCUGGACAUUAACUGACGCUGAGGCACGAAGGCCAGGGGAGCGAAAGGGAUUAGAUACCCGAGUAGUC
rnacentral:rRNA from 1 species